UCAUGUCUCCGCAUGGCUGGAAAAUCUCAAGGAGAAUUAUGGGUUUCACCCACGAGAAUCUGACCGUUCGUUCUCUGUAUGAAUGCAUGUGUAUGAAAAACUCAUGACAGCCAUACACCAGGACAGAAAGCCUGUGGCGAGAUCUGCACCCUCCACGGCAGGUGCGAAAUUUAUUAUGUAUUUGUGUUCAUAUCUGCCUGUGGACGUGGGUGCCACGGCAUGCACGUGAACUCAGUCAGUUCUCUCCUUCUACCACGUGACAUGGUCCUGGGGAUCAAUCUCAGACCAUCAGGCCUGGCGAGAAGCAACCUCACCACUGAGCCACCCCGCCAGCCCUCCAGCUUUCUAUAGGUUUUGCAUAUGUGUGUACGGGGCUAUAUGCAUGUGUAAGUUUGGGUGAUUUUUUUUUUUUUAAUAGCACUGCCAACUGACGGCAGGGCCUCUUGAGUACCAAGUGAGUACCCAUCACUGAGCCGCACCCCCUGCUCUGCUUUUUAUCUUUGAGACAGAGUCUUAACUACGCAUCUCAGGCUUCCUCCAAACUCCUGGCAAGCCUCCAGCCUCCUGAGCACUGGAAUUACUGACAUGAGCUACUAUGACCUAGUUCUGAUUUUAGAUUUUUCAUUGUUGGUGGUGGUUUUGUUUUAUUUUGUGUUUUUAAAGAUAGGGUCUUACACUGUACUCCACACUGGCCUUGAGCUUUCAGUAAUUCUCCUGCCUCACUCUCCUGAGAGCUGGAGUUACAGGCGUGAGGGCACCACGUUCAGAUUCUGGUUUUAUCCUUUCCUUUUCCUUUUUUAAAUGAACCAAGUUGAAGUUCAUUAAAAGAGGUUUUGUGGGGCUGGAGAGAUGGCUCAGCAGUUAAGAGCACACAUUUCUCUUCCAGGUGACCUGAGUUCAGUUCCCAGCACCCACAUCUUAGCUCACAACUGCCUGUAACUUUUGCUCAGGAGAUUUGACACCUCCAGCCUUAGGAAACUUCAGCAAGGACACACACUUAUACAUAAUUACAUUUUUUUCUUUUGGCCUUUGGAUACAGGGUUUCUCUGUGUAGCUCUUGGACUAAUGGUCUCAAGCUCAGAGAUCCACUUGACUUUGUCUCCCAAGUGCUGGGCGUUAAAAAUGUGAGCCACCACACACCACCCAACUUUUUAGAUAAAUCUUAAAAAUAAGGUGAGAGAAACUGAAGAAGACACCCAGUGUUGAACUUUGUACCCCAUCCCUCUCUACGCAAGUGCUCUCGUGUAUGCAUGAGCACAAACACACAUACACGUACAUACAGUCACACAAAUGCACCAAAGCAGCUAUUUUAACACAAAUUUAAGCAGGAUUCUAACAGGAGUAGGGUGGCUCAGGGAAAGGGACUAUGCUGGCUAGCUUUACGUCAGCUUAAGAGACUGUCAACUGGGAAAAUGCUUUCAUAAGAUCAGGCUAUAGGCAACCCUGUAGGACAUUUUCUUAAUUAACAAUUUGAUGAGGAAGGGCCUAGGCUAUUGUGGGCGGGGCCAUCCUGCGUGGGCGGGGCCAGCACAGGGCUCAUGAUACUGGGUUCUAUAAAAAAAAAAAAACAUGCAGGGCAAGUGAGCAGAACCCCUCCAGGUUCCUGACCCAUCUUCCUUUGAUGAACAGUGAUGGAAGUAAGGAAAAUUAACUCUUUCCUCUCUGAGUUGCUUUUGGUCAUGGUGUUUCCUCACAGCACCAGUAACCCUAACUAAAUUGGGGUGUGAACUCCCCGAGGGAGAGUGGCCUGCUUUUGCCUUUCUGCAAUAGCUUUCCUCUGUGCACCAUCAAGGGCCAUUGUACCUGACUGACAACUGCUCUGGCCCAGGCACCCGACUCAAUGCUCGUGAUGCGAUGCAAGCCAGAUGGCUGAAACUCAGGGGACUCAGUCAUUCCCCUUGGGUCAGGCAGUAAUAACCGUGAGGGUCGGCAGCUGCCAGCUUCCCAGGAGGGUGACUCGCCAGGUAAGGUGGUUUAAAUGAGCAAUGUCUUCCUGAAGCUCAGACACUUAAACACUGGGUUUCUAAUGGGCGACACUGGAGAGGUUAUGGAUAGGGGCAGCCUUGGUGGAGGAAGUCUGUAUCUAUGUGUGUGGGUGGGGGUGGGGUGUGGGGGGUGGCUUUGAGAACUGAAUGUCUCCCCCCACUUACAGCUUCCUCUCUGCUCCCUGCCCCUCCACCAGACCUUCCCCACUAUUAUGGGCCCCCUCUCUGGAACCCUCAGUCCAAAUCAAUAGUUCCUCCAUAAGCUGCUUCUGGUCCCAUGCGUUAUCACAGUAAGAGCAAAGAGAGCAGCCUGGAAUCUGCACUCUCUGGGUUCCACAAUGGGUCCUCAGUGUCUCCUGGUCCCUGGAACAGGCCCAAGCUUGGGAGGAGGGACUCAGGGUUGGUAUGCAGGGCCCAGCGGCAUCCCGGUUGAGAGACUAGAGAGUCUCACAGGGCAGAAGAAGUCACCUGAGAGUCCCCUGAACAACAGCAGGGGUGGGGACUCACCAUCUGGUCGGCCAGCAACAGCACCGUCUUGAGGCUGAACUUCCGGGAACAGAAGUUGAAGAGGUCCUCCAGGCUGGGCCCCAGCAGCUCCAUGACCAUCACGUUAUAGUCUCCCUCAGCCCCGCACCACUUGAUGGACGGGAUCCCCACUGGGCCCGAGAGAGAGACUCGGUCAGCGGUGGUCACUCCCACGCAUGUUCUCCUGCUCUCCACCCGGACCACCAGCCUCCCCCCCCCCAUGUGCCAUCCCCACACCCCAGCCUUGGGCUCCUUCCCGUCCUUCAGUCAUUGUCCCCCCCCCCCGCUCCCAGCACCAUCCCUGCCUCACCUCCGCCCUGCAUCAUCUUGUAGAACUUGCUCUCGAUGUGGAGCUGGGGAUGUUUCGUCUUCACACAUUCGAGCUUGAUGGCUACUUCCUCACCAGAGGCAAUGUUGGCACCUGCCCGAGUCAGAGGAGUUUCUCACCGCUGGAAGCAAGAUGUUCUAACUCAGAAAUUACACACUCCAAGGCCUGGAUCUCAGCCUGGGGCCGUGGCUCCAGGAGUCACAAGAGAACCUGGGCACUGUGCAUACCUGCAAUCCUAACAUGGAGGGAGUCGAAGCAAGAGAACUUCCUGAGUUCAAGGUCACCUAAGUUUACACAUGAAUUUCAGGCCAGCCUGGGCUACAUAAUGAUUUCUAGCCUAGGCUAUAGAGUGUGACACUGUUUGGAAGGGAGGAAGAGGAUGGGUCAGAAGUAGGUUCGUUGGUUGGUUUUUGGUUUUGCUUUUGUUUUUAUGAUUUAGUUAUUUCUAUCCUAUGCCCAAUAGUGAUCUGCCUGCUUGUUCCUGUUUGUGAGGAUGUCAGAUAUCCUAGAACUGAAGUCACAGACAGGUGCAAGCUGCCUUGUGGGUGCUGGGAACCGAACCCUGGUCCUUUAGAAGAACAGCCAGUGCUCUUAACUGGUGAGCCAUUGUAGAAGCUGAGAGAACUGUAGUUCCUAGAGGCUGUGUGGAGGAGAGGACAGGGUGAGGGAGGAGAGGGACGAAAGGCAAGGCAAGCCAGAGGCUGGAAGCAGGUCUGGAGUUGCAGUGGGCUGGGGGCCAGAGGCAGGAGCUGCUCUUGGAAGUGAUGGAGGUUUGAGACUUAGCUGAGGAGAGGACGGCAUUGCAAUAAGGGCCACACAACUGCAUACCUGCUGAGUCCUCACCACGUAGCCCAGGCUGGCCUGGAACUUGCUAACAUCCUGUCUCAGAUGGAGAUAACUGGCCUCCACUCAUAUGUCACACACC
rnacentral:lncRNA from 1 species